rnacentral:tRNA from 1 species
GCUGAGGCUCGGGGAUAGAGCAUCUGCUUAGCAUGCAGAAGGUCCCAGGUUCAAAUCCUUGGCAUCUAGAGCAGCA